rnacentral:rRNA from 1 species
CCUACGGGAGGCAGCAGUGAGGAAUAUUGGUCAAUGGACGCAAGUCUGAACCAGCCAUGCCGCGUGCAGGAAGACGGCUCUAUGAGUUGUAAACUGCUUUUGUACGAGGGUAAACGCAGAUACGCGUAUCUGUCUGAAAGUAUCGUACGAAUAAGGAUCGGCUAACUCCGUGCCAGCAGCCGCGGUAAUACGGAGGAUUCAAGCGUUAUCCGGAUUUAUUGGGUUUAAAGGGUGCGUAGGCGGUCGGAUAAGUUAGAGGUGAAAUCCCGAGGCUCAACUUCGGAAUUGCCUCUGAUACUGUUCGGCGAGAGAGUAGUUGCGGUAGGCGGAAUGUAUGGUGUAUCGGUGAAAUGCUUAGAGAGCAUACAGAACACCGAUUGCGAAGGCAGCUUACCAAGCUACUUCUGACGUUGAGGCACGAAAGCGUGGGGAGCAAACAGGAUUAGAUACCCCAGUAGUC